GGAGAGGUGGCCGAGCGGUCGAAGGCGCACGAUUGGAAAUCGUGUAUACGGGAAACCGUAUCGAGGGUUCGAAUCCCUCUCUCUCCGCCA
rnacentral:tRNA from 11 species